rnacentral:rRNA from 1 species
CCUACGGGAGGCAGCAGUGGGGAAUAUUGCACAAUGGGGGCAACCCUGAUGCAGCGACGCCGCGUGAGUGAAGACGGAUUUAGGUAUGUAAAGCUCUAUCAGCAGGGACGAAACCCGCCCUCCGGGGUGGCUGACGGUACCUGACUACGAAUCCCCGGCUAACUCCGUGCCAGCCGCCGCGUUAAUACGUAGGGGGCACGAGUUAUCCGGAUUUACUGGUGUUAAAGGGAGCGGAGGGGGCAAGGCAAGUCAGAUGUGAAAACCCGGGGACCAACCCCGGGAGUGCAGUUGAGACUGUCGGGCUAGAGUGCAGGAGAGGUAAGUGGAAUGCCGAGUGUAGCGGUGAAAUGCAUAGAUAUUAGGAGGAACACCAGUGGCGAAGGCGGCUUACUGGACUGUAACUGACAUUGAGGCUCGAAAGCGUGGGGAGCAAACAGGAUUAGAUACCCGUGUAGUC